AAGGUAAAUGGACUACCUGCAUCGGUUUCCGACAUAUUCCACCGCGAGAGGCGCUUCAAGUAUAAUGUAACUCUAUCGGAAACUAAUAGAAACAUUCUGAUGUUCCACCAAACUCCAACAGAUGGCGACUCAAUAGCGCAUACAAGCUUACAGUGAUUGAACCGAAUUAGGGAAAAUAGUAUUUUAAGAAUUUUUACUCUUGAUUGAACUCAAAAUGACCAAUUUAGUAUACCUUCCAGCGCAUUGUUUUUAAUUUUAAUUGCUUUUUUUUAUUAAGCAAAGCAAAUGUAAUUAUUUUGAUUAAAAACAAGCAUUUAAAAUGAUUAAAUAUUUAUUGAAUGCCGAAAAAUGGUGCAGUACGGUAAAGCUGCUGAUGGGAGAAUUUUGACAGCUCAUUUUGUGAGUAGGGGGGUAGAAGCGGUAGAAGCACAACAAAAGUCGUGAUCGCAGCCAAACAAAGGAACAUAAACAGUAAAAUCGAGCACGGAAUCGAUUGAAAAUUUAAAAACGUAGGACGAUUUUUGUUUGAGUUCGCGGGUGAUAAAAGGAUAUCGUUCUGUGGCUGAAGACGGUUAUGUCUAACAAAUUACCGAAAAAGCGUGCGGUGUGAUAAGAUUCACGAAUAAAGCCAGCGAGAAUCAGAAGUUUCCUCGGGAGGAUAGAAGCAUAAGAAGAUCGAUUACCUCCUGGAAUACAAACUGAAGGGAAUCAAAAUUAAAGGAUCGGCCAGCCAGAACGAAAUAGUGAAAAUGUUAAACCUCCCUACGAUUCAGUGAAAACGCGCGGAAGUGGCCGUAAAAAGUUGGUGAUGAUGCAGGGGCUUUUGCCAACGUUGCGCCACGUUUUGGGCGUAAUCCGUUUGAGUUCACCGGUGGAAUCUGUGGCAGGCGGAUACGGAAAAUGUUCUACUUGAUACGCUUUGUUGACAGGGUACAUGUCAGUUCCGAGGACGUGAUCCAUGACCCAAGGCCCUGCUUCAAAAUUCGGGCAUGUACAAUCCGGUUCAUUCAACGAUGACGACGACGACUGCUGGUAGUCCGACCGGUAGUGGAAAUGAGUGAGAAGCGAUGGGUGAAACUUUUACACUUGAGUCAGUAGGUGAACGAAAACGCUCAAAUAAAAUUCAAUUUACCAACACCUCAAA